GCGGGCUCGGGGAAGGGAGGGUGGGUAGGAAGAUGCUCUACACCCCCCACCCCGUGAGAAGUUUGUCCGCAAAGGGCUCUGCGGCCGAGUUUGGGGGGGCUUUUGUCUGUCUCCGCGGGUCCCCACUCCAACGCGCAGGCUUCCGGGGUCUGGGAGCCGCGGGGGUGCCCAAGAGGCGUUUCCCGGCCGCCGCCGCCGGAGCCGGAGCAGCUCGCUCGGCUUCAUUCAUUCCCCGUCGCCGGACCUCGGGGUCCCCUCCUGGCUCCCGAAACCGGAAGGGGAUCCGCGCCGGGGGGGAAGGGGGUGCAGGCGAGGCGGGAUCCGGCCGUGCCGCCGGCGCGCUCGCAAGGAGAAAGGAAGGACACGCGGCGGGCUGGGGCGCGGGAGGCCCGGCCAGUAGCCUCGCGGGGGAUGGACGCCGGGAGUCGGCCCAGAAAAGUAUGUUCUACUCUACACCUCCCAAGUCAGGAUGAACCGUGAGACGCGGAGGUAUCUAGUCAUCUGAUCCAUGGGUACAUUUGUGAACUCCGAGAAGAACCACAAGGAAACUACUUCAAACUCGGAUGGCCACUAAGGAAGGAAGGAUGGAACCUUCCUUCUCUGCCGAGGGUCCCUCCCCUCCCAGCCCAGUCCAGAGGGAUUUCAUCCACCAAGUGCCGGCAAGGCCACCAUGAAGGAAGAUAUAAACCGAGAACAGAUACUGCCAAUUUUUUUUUUAAUCCAGUGCAAGUUUUUAAAAUCCAGUACAAUAUUCUAGAAAUCAAGCCUAGCCUGGUUAUUAGCAAAUUAGUUCAGAAGGUGGAAUCUUCAGAAUCCCAAACAUUUCCAGAAUCCAUGUGUCUGCACAGCAGAGUCUUUCCAGAGAAUUCUGCUGUCCAGCUCCGAGGAAGGAAAAGGCCAGGCCCGGGAGUUGGCAGCUGGCGCUGGGAGGCGGGAGUGCCUGCUGAGCGUGGCCCUCUCUCUGGACUAAGGGCCAUCGGUCAGUCUCUGCACAGGCCAAAGGGAACUGACGAGAUGCAUGAAAGCUGGACGGGCAGUGAGAAAAGUUCUGGAAAGAAAGCCUAGCAAAUGUUUCCCCUUCGCCGAUGUACAGGAAGCUGCUUGCGAUCUGGUCUGUCGUUCCCGCUUCCAGGUGAGAAGCUGAAACGCGGAGAUGUCCAUCUGCCCGCUCAGUCCUUUCGUUCAAGAGUCUGGAGGCAGAGAGAAAGUAUAGCAGUUCAACCCAGGCACCUCAUUUGGUUUCUCAGCGCCCCUCUCCCCCGGGGUCCCUGAGCACUGCCAGUGUGGCCCCCAAACAAGACAAAUAAGGUAGACUCUGAACUCAGA